AUUGAACGCUGGCGGCAUGCCUUACACAUGCAAGUCGAACGGCAGCGCGGGCUUCACCCUGGCGGCGAGUGGCGAACGGGUGAGUAAUUCAUCGGAACCUGCCCUUUUGUGGGGGAUAGCGUGGCGAAAGCUGGGUUAAUACCGCAUACGUCCUGCGGGUGAAAGCGGGGGACCGCAAGGCCUCGCGCUAAUAGAUGAGCCGACGACGGAUUAGCUAGUUGGUGGGGUAAAGGCUUACCAAGGCGACGAUCCGUAGCUGGUCUGAGAGGAUGACCAGCCACACUGGGACUGAGACACGGCCCAGACUCCUACGGGAGGCAGCAGUGGGGAAUAUUGGACAAUGGGGGCAAGCCUGAUCCAGCCAUGCCGCGUGUGGGAAGAAGGCCUUCGGGUUGUAAAGCGCUUUUGUUCGGAAAGAAAUCCUCUGGGCUAAUACCCUGGGGGGAUGACGGUACCGGAAGAAUAAGCACCGGCUAACUACGUG
rnacentral:rRNA from 1 species